rnacentral:tRNA from 1 species
GCGGGAUUAGCUCAGUCGGUAGAGCGCAGGUCUCAUAAUCCUGAAGUCCACAGUUCGAACCUGUGAUUCCGCA